UAAUAGGCCAACAAAUGUCAAGCUAAAGUUAGAAAUCAGAAACUCCGUGUAGACUCACAGAUCCUCUCUCAAUUUUGUCUCGCUAAGGUAACAGCCAUAGGCCAUGGGUACAUCUGCAGAAGAACCUCCAUCACCACCACCACCGUUAGAGUGGGACCAAUCUUCAUCCGACGGAGAAGAACCAUCACCAUCAACGUCGAUAUCAUUCGACAGGGACCGCCACGUGGCUUACCUGGAGAUGAUGUACCAGAUGCUACCCAGCUAUUACCAAUCGCAAGAGAUCAAUCGCCUCACUCUCGCCUACUUCACCAUUUCCGGCCUGGACAUCCUCGGUGCUCUCGAUCGAGUAGAUAAAGAUGCUGUGGCUAGUUGGGUUUUAUCCUUUCAAGCUCACCCUGGGGAUAAAAAUCAAUUGAACAAUGGACAAUUCUAUGGGUUCCAAGGUUCUCGAUCUUCCCAAUUCCCCUUGGGCUGUGAUGGGGUUUUGAUUCACAAUCUUAGUCAUCUGGCUAGCACAUAUUGUGCACUAGCUACACUAAAGACUGUCGGCUAUAAUUUGUCAAAUGUUGACUCCAAAUCAAUAUUGACAUCAAUGAGAAACUUGCAACAACCUGAUGGCAGUUUUCUUCCCAUCCAUAUUGGGGCAGAGACAGAUCUUCGUUUCGUAUACUGUGCUGCGGCUAUCUGUUUUAUGUUGGGGGACUGGAAUGGCAUGGAUAGGGAGAAAGCCAAGGAAUACAUCAUAAAAUGCCAAUCAUAUGAUGGUGGCUUUGGGAUGGUUCCUGGCUCAGAAUCUCAUGGUGGUGGAACUUACUGUGCAGUUGCAUCACUACGAUUGAUGGGUUUUAUGGAAGAUGACAUUCUGUCUACAAGUGGAGCAUCUUCCGUCAUAGACCUUCCAUUGUUGCUGGAAUGGUGCUUGCAGGUUUAUUUUUCUUCAUUUGAUUUUUGGAAUCAUUUCGUAACAUUGGUGACAGAUUUCAUAGCUACAGCUUUUAUAAUUAUAAAACAACGGAUUGAACUGAUAUGAAGGACAUUAAGAGCUAAAAGAACCACCCAAUGAAAUGUUAAUCAAAUCAUAGCCUCCAUUGCACGCAAUAUAAUCUUUUCAAGGUUUUCCUAUUGCACGCAAUAUAAUAUUUUCAAGGUUUUCCUUCUGUCCCACUUGUUUUUUUCUCUGCUUCAGAGACAAGCAGCUGAUGGUGGUUUUCAAGGUAGACCAAACAAACCUAGUGACACAUGUUAUGCAUUUUGGUAAGUCCCCAACUUGAGAAAUGCCAUGCUAUAAGUUGCAGUUCUUCCGUGCCUUCAAAAUGGCAUCACACUUGUGCAGGGUUGGAGCAGUUUUGAGGAUUUUAGGAGGCUACAAAUUGAUUGAUGGGAAAGCUUUACGUGAAUUUUUGAUAACUUGCCAAUCCAAGGUGCUGAUCUUUGUUUCCCAAAUUUCAGCACUUGCUUGUGGUUGAGACCUUUAGCCACUGAAAACUAAAGGUCUCUAUAGCUUAUUAUUUACUAAGCAUAUUCAUAAGAAUGGGCCUUUCCUUCAUACUUUAGAAAAUAGGAACCACACCAGUGCUGUUAAAAGCUUUCCUCCUUUUACUGACAUUGACAGUUCCAAUAAUGGGAUGAUUUGUGACCUUUAGCCUCUGAAAAUGGCGGAAUGGGUUUAUGAGAAAGAACUAAUGAAAAACAGAACCAGAAAGUGCAGUGCUAUGCUUAAAAUGUCUGAACUGCCAUGACUUGCAGAUAAAUGUAUGUUAUAGGAAUUGCAUCAUACUUUCCUGUCAUGUAUAGGAGGACUAGAUGUAGAAAUAAUAAAUAAUAGUAGUGUGGGUAAUAAGAAUAGAAUUGGUUAGAGUUGUCCACUAGUAUGUUAGAGGGAAAAGUUGUUAGGGCAGUUACUGAGGUUGCAACAGUUAUAGGGGCAGGAAUUUGAGUAUAAAGGUAGAUGGAGAAGCUCUUUGUAAGGCAUUCCAGAACUAAUAUGAAUUCAUAAUACUUCUUUUCUCCUAUUCCUCCUUCCCUUUUUUUCUCUAUUCCCUCUCCAAUUUCUAUUCUUUUCUGUGAUUAAAAACCUGGUUACAUGACAUUUCCUUGAAAAAUAUUCCAUUGGCAAAUAAUAUGACUAUCUAAUUCUUGUUUGCUUAUAUUUUUUUGCACAGUAUGGUGGUUUUGGUAAAUUUCCAGGUGAGCUGCCCGAUAUAUACCAUUCCUACUAUGGAUGCACAGCAUUUAGUCUUUUGGAAGAACCUGGCCUUAAUUCACUCUCCUUUGAAUUGGGAAUAACAGAUGUUGCUGCCUUGGGAAUCUGACUUGAUUUUCUUCUUCUUUCUAAGGUUUUGCAAUGCCAUCUAAUUUAUUCUUGCACAGCAAAUGUAAUUUUUUUUUUCCACUGCAAUUAUAUCCCAUGUAGGGUAUACGUGUAACAAUAAAACACAGAGUGGAAUUGUUGUGACUUGCUAUGAAUAAUAAAACACAGAGUGGUCUAUUGCAGGUUAAAUGUAUUGGCUCCCCACCCCUCAUCUGCUCUGUGUUAUCAAAGAUGGUUUCAUGCUACACUGCUCAAUAUUAACCAGCUUUUUGGUAAUGACAUUUACCGACUUCCUGAUGUUGGUCACAGUACAGAGUGGAUGUUUGUGAAGUCUUAUAUCAUUAUAGUGAUUCGUACUAAAUAUGUUGACCUUAAGCUGGGGGCUUAUUGAACAUAAUGACUUUUUAAGUGAUUUGCAAUGAAUUUUUGGCUUUUGGAAAGGUGAAAAAUAUUUGAGUUUG
rnacentral:misc_RNA from 1 species